GUUUGUUACAAAAUAGCUUAACAUUUAAGUUAAAAUAAAACUACUUUAUCCCCAUUUAAAAUGAAGAUAAAAUUUUUAACCAGCUUUUAUUUAUGCCUAUGCUAGGAUGAGUAUCAAAAUUUUUCUCAAAGCUUAUACUAUUAUAUUCAUAAGUUAUUGAUAAAUAUUAAAAAUAUUAAUUAAAAAAAAGGAACUCGGCAAAUUGUGUCACUUCGCCUGUUUAUCAAAAACAUGGUUCCUCGAUUGAUAAAAAUGAUGAAUCGGACCUGCCCAGUGAAAAUUUAACGGCCGCGGUACUCUGACCGUGCAAAGGUAGCAUAAUCAUUUGCCUUAUAAUUGAAGGCUAGUAUGAAUGGUUUGACGUGGGUGACGCUGUCUCUUUUAUAUUUUUUAUAAAUUAACCUUUAGGUGAAAAGGCCUAAAUUUAAUUAAAGGACAAGAAGACCCUGUCGAGCUUAAAAGUUUAAAAAGAAAUCAUUAUUAAUAAAAUUUAUCUCUUUUAUAACUUUUUAGUUGGGGCGACUAAGGAACAAAUAAAGCUUCUUCCACCAAAACAGCCAAUGAGCCAAGAUCCAGUUUACUGAGCAAGAAAAUUAGUUACCGCAGGGAUAACAGCAUAAUCU
rnacentral:rRNA from 1 species